CUAUAUUGAUGUACGAUGUACAAGAAGAAAAAGAAUAAGGAUGGAAUCAGAAAAUAUAUUUUAUUUCUCCUGUGUGCUAUCAGUAUUCUUGACAAGAGUUGUGGAAGGUAUUCAAAAGGAAUGGAUGCUGGGAAUUGAGAGGACCAUGAGCAAAGCAUUUGAGAUGAUAGGUAGGUAGAGUGGGAGGGAGGGAGGGAGAAAGGUAGAGAAGGAGAAAGGGACAGAAAAGCAAAUUCCAAACAUCUAAUUAUUUUGGAAAAAAGUUCAAUUCUUUCUGAUUUUCUUCAGGAAAAAAACUUCUAAACUAAAGAGGCACAUUCCCCCUUGCCCAUGUUUCAUUGAACUGAACAACAAACUCUAUAUACAUCUCAAAAUUCAGAUGAUGGCUAAUGAACUCUAGACCAGAACUUCUAUUGUCUCACAAUCAUUCCAUCCCACUUUUCAAUUGCACCAAGAUAUCAAAGAAGGACUCCAAAUACUUUUUCCAUAGCCAUCCACGUGAUCCUCCUGGGCAAGCAUUAUAUGCCAACUGAAUAUCUCUUUUCAAAGCCUUGGGAAGAGGCUAUUACCGGUUUUGCCAUCUGCCGCCUUUCAAACUAAUGCACUAUGUGAAAUUAAACACAGAGCUAAUACUUUGUUGAAGACCCAACAAUGACUUUUGGUUCUAGAAACUAGAAAUGAGAAUUAAAAAAUAAGAAAUGAGAAUAAACCAAGAGAGGCAGUCAGAACCCUUGAAUUUACACUUCAAAUGUAAGCUGAAUUUUCUUAAGCAAAUGUAUGCCCAUUUCUUAUAGCAGUUUCGGUUAUCCUAGGUAGAGGUUCCUAUACUUUGAUGAAGGUUAGAACAAGUUAAUUGGCUACAGGGAUCUUUGGCAAAGCUCAGACCUACUUCCCAUGCAACAUGGAUGAUUUUCGUGAAUAUCAUCACUAUUACUUGCAGAAAGAUCCAUACCAGUUUAAGUUAAGGUACCACUUCUCCAAAUUUGACAACAAAUUAUCUUCUGAAAAUUUCUCAACAACACAACAGCUGUAGCUAAGUUCCCUUAUGCCUGUAACUGAUUCAAAAUAACUAAUUCAUACAGCAAAAGGAAACCUCAUGAGCUAUUUCCACUGAAAAGAAGGGAAUACUUUGCUCUUAAGAGAUAGACUUCCAAUUUACCUAUAGUAUGUUCUUAAAAAUAAUUGUAUAUUUUACUUUAAGCCAUCCUUCUUCCCAUCACAUUCAGCAAUAUUUUUUAAAAAGCUGCAGCUUGCUCAGAUUUCAUAUUCUCUUGGUUUAUAAACCUUCUGUCUGCAAUUCAGUCAUGCUUUCAGAAUUAUCUUUAUUUCAAGAUUUGAAACUAUCUCUUAUCUAUCAAUAAACCAAAAAUGGGAAGCAAUAAAGCUAACACAUCCAAAAGCUUUAAAGAGAUGCAGAGCAGGGUACAAGCGUUUUCAAGAAUUGACAAACCCACAGAUUAGGAUUGGAAGUAUGGUCCUUUGGGAGAAUACAGGUAAGUUCUUGACUUACGACCACAAUUGGGCCCAACAUGACUGUUGCUAAGUGGGACAGUUGUUAAAGUGAGUUUUGCUGUAUUUACAAUCGUUUCUGGCCACAAUUGUUAAGU